rnacentral:lncRNA from 1 species
AUGCAUUACAUUGCUAGGGAAAGUUCCAGACAGGAACUGCAAGAGGGUGAACAGAAGUGUAUUUUGCCUCUGAAACCUCUGCUCAGAACAGCUCCCUGUUUCUUCAACCACAUUCCAACAUUUGCACCAGGUCCAUGGCCUCCUGCAGUACUGAGGAUGGAAGAAAAACAAUAUUCUGCUAAGGGAGUACCUGGAGGGUUAAGGCAAAGUAAAAACAAGACAAGGAUCCUGCUCUCUCUGGUAGAAAGGACAAAUCUCCAGUCUAGGCCAGCCGAAGAAAAUAAUACAGAGCCUUGGUGAUGAGAACAACUGAAGAAUGGGCCUGGAGAGGAAGCCCUGAAAGCGCCUCACACUGUUUGCAAAGCUGAUGAUGGAUGGUGCACACUUUGGCUCAAGCUAAGCAACUUGGCCCUGACCAGGCAACAGGGUCCCACCUGCUUGUUGGUACAAUUCAGCUGCUUCCAAAAUUAUGCAAGAACUGAAACAUAGGACUCUAUGGGGUUCCCCAAGGUAAGUUGUAUUGGCUAUUGGCUUGAUCCUUGAUACAUUCAGACUGCUUUCAUCUACAUGUUC